GACGAACGCUGGCGGCGCGCCUAACACAUGCAAGUCGAACGGAGCUGAGAGAAGCUUGCUUUUCUUAGCUUAGUGGCGAACGGGUGAGUAACGCGUGAGUAACCUGCCCUGGAGUGGGGGACAACAGUUGGAAACGACUGCUAAUACCGCAUAAGCCCACGAUCCGGCAUCGGAUUGAGGGAAAAGGAUUUAUUCGCUUCAGGAUGGACCCGCGUCCAAUUAGCUAGUUGGUGAGGUAACGGCCCACCAAGGCGACGAUUGGUAGCCGGACUGAGAGGUUGAACGGCCACAUUGGGACUGAGACACGGCCCAGACUCCUACGGGAGGCAGCAGUGGGGGAUAUUGCACAAUGGGGGAAACCCUGAUGCAGCGACGCCGCGUGGAGGAAGAAGGUUUUCGGAUUGUAAACUCCUGUCGUUAGGGACGAUAAUGACGGUACCUAACAAGAAAGCACCGGCUAACUACGUG
rnacentral:rRNA from 1 species